GGAAAAAUCAGAUAAGCAGCUGCAGUUAGGGGCGGAAUCAUCGGGAGGUGUAGUGGGAUGUCUGGGAGGAAACAUCUGGGGAACAGGGCAGGAAAACUGUUGGCUCAGGGAAUGUUGAGGAUGACCUUGGAGAAGCUCUGGUUGGCGGAGUGGUUUCUUCACUCGUUCAGCAAACGUGGAGGACCUCGUGGGCUCCAGGAAAUCACAAAGACC